rnacentral:rRNA from 1 species
UACGGGAGGCAGCAGUGGGGAAUAUUGCACAAUGGGCGAAAGCCUGAUGCAGCUAUGCCGCGUGUAUGAAGAAGGCCUUAGGGUUGUAAAGUACUUUCAUCGGGGAGGAAAAACAAAACUAAUAAUUUUAUUUCUUGACGUUACCCGAAAAAGAAGCACCGGCUAACUCCGUGCCAGCAGCCGCGGUAAUACGGAGGGUGCUAGCGUUAAUCAGAAUUACUGGGCGUAAAGAGCACGUAGGUGGUUUUUUUAAGUCAGAUGUGAAAUCCCUGGGCUUAACCUAGGAACUGCAUUUUGAAACUGAAAUACUAGAGUAUCGUAGAGGGAGGUAGAAUUCUAGGUGUAGCGGUGAAAUGCGUAGAUAUCUGGAGGAAUACCUGUGGCGAAAGCGGCCUCCUAAACGAAAUACUGACACUGAGGUGCGAAAGCGUGGGGAGCGAAAACAGGGAUUAGAUACC